rnacentral:lncRNA from 1 species
UCACCACCCAACUCAUACCCGCCUCAUCGGCUGUUCACACGUGCACUUCCUGAACUACCACAUUCUACAGUGAUAAUAAUGACUGAGUUCUGUCUUAUUCGGUAAAGCUCUUGGGUACAGUGGUGAUCAUGUUACACACAUAUCAAGUGGUGUGGGAAAAAAGCAUCCAGAAGGCAAUUUCAAGCAUGCAAAAUGGGAUCACUGACAUGGAAAAUCAGUGACAUCUGAUUCCCAUUGUGCCAGCCUUCUGUAAAUAUCUGAUUAAUUAGUGCUGCAGAGAUCUAGGGGAGGCCUUUAUCUGAAGAGCAGUUCAACCAUUAGCAAAGGAAACUUCCUUGUGCACCAGCGGCUCAGAUAACAAGUUGGCUACCUUGUUGCCCCAGGGCACCUGUCUUGGGGAUAACCAAGAAUGUGGAUGGUGAUGGCCAUGGUGCAAGACUCAGCUUCAGUGGGGGCUGCUCCCAGGAUGUCGGGCUCACGGACCCCUCUCAUUGAUGCCAGUCUCAGGUGGCUCUAUCCCUGGAAGAACAUUCAGGUCAUUUUUGCAUCAUUUGAUCCUUGAAACUAUACUAAGAAGGGGUCAGAGUGAUAUCACCGUUUUCUCAAAUGUGAGAAUGAACACUGGCAAGAUAAAGUGACUUAUUCAAACGUACCCAGAGAGCUGAUGAGAAAGUCAAGCCUAGGAAGCAUUUGGUGAAGAAGCGAAGAAACAGGCAAUUCAAGAAGGGCAAUUUGGAGAAGCUUAACAAGAACAAGAUUGAAACAAACAUGCACGUGUCCUCUGACCUGACACACUAAAUAAUGUCACUGGAGACAAGACGUAGCCCCAUUUUCCAUCUUGUAGUCCCAGUCUCAACCUCUGGUUUAUUCUCCUGAGAAUCAAUAAUGAUACAGAAGCAGAGCUGGGGAGUGGAACUGAAAUUUCUCAAUUUGGGACACAAUCUUGCUCUCAGUUAUUGAUACAGAAGUUGACACAUAAAAAGUGAAGGGUAAUUCAAACCAACAUUAUCAUAUCUGCUAAAACUUCUAAGUGUCCAAUU